rnacentral:rRNA from 1 species
GACGAACGCUGGCGGCGUGCUUAACACAUGCAAGUCGAACGCUGAAGCUUGGUGCUUGCACUGGGUGGAUGAGUGGCGAACGGGUGAGUAAUAAGUGAGUAACCUGCCCUUGACUCUGGGAUAAGCCUGGGAAACUGGGUCUAAUACUGGAUACGACAUGUCACCGCAUGGUGGUGUGUGGAAAGGGUUUUACUGGUUUUGGAUGGGCUCACGGCCUAUCAGCUUGUUGGUGGGGUAAUGGCCCACCAAGGCGACGACGGGUAGCCGGCCUGAGAGGGUGACCGGCGACACUGGGACUGAGAGACGGCCCAGACUCCUACGGGAGGCAGCAGGGGGGAAUAUUGCACAAUGGGCGGAAGCCUGAUGCAGCGACGCCGCGUGAGGGAUGACGGCCUUCGGGUUGUAAACCUCUUUCAGCACGGAAGAAGCGAAAGUGACGGUACGUGCAGAAGAAGCGCCGGCUAACUACGUG